AUUUAAAAAAAAAAUUAAAAAGAAUUGAUUUUUUUUUAUUCCAAACAUGAAAAUUGAUAAAAAAGAAAUUAAUUGAAUUAAAUUGUUGUAAAUUUCUAGUUUCCAAACAAGGAAAAUAAGAAAGGGUAAAUGACAAGGAAAAUCCAACAGGCCUUCAGAUUAAAGUUUAGUUUGGACAAUAUUUUCUUUCCCACCAUGAUCAGCAAAUUUUGUCAGAUAACACUUGUAAUCCGGCAUUAAUUCAACCUAAAAUGCUCAGAUUUAAAUGAAAGAAAAUACUUAAGAACUUGACUGCUUCUAAUUUUUUCAAAUAGGAAAUACUCUCAGUAACAAAAAAAUUAAUAUAGUUCUAACAAAAAUCAAAAGCUUCAGAAACAGGAUCAAAUCAUAAGUAGAACAACAAGAAAUCUAUUACAAUAAGGGGAAGAAAAGUCCUGAAACAAAGACCUCUGAAAUCAAAGGCUAAGAUAGAAAACUCAUUAGGGUUAUCCAAGCAGUGUUUAAUUGUCAACAAACAUCUGGUUAAAUGUCUUUUUCUUCUUUUCUACAACCUUAAACACAAAAAAAAUUAAAUUGACUAAUCAUACUCCCUACAGAGUAACAAAACACAAAGCAAGCAAAGCUUUUUCUGAUUUUUU
rnacentral:misc_RNA from 1 species